UACGUAGGGUGCGAGCGUUAAUCGGAAUUACUGGGCGUAAAGCGUGCGCAGGCGGUGAUGUAAGACCGAUGUGAAAUCCCCGGGCUCAACCUGGGAACUGCAUUUGUGACUGCAUCGCUGGAGUGCGGCAGAGGGGGAUGGAAUUCCGCGUGUAGCAGUGAAAUGCGUAGAUAUGCGGAGGAACACCGAUGGCGAAGGCAAUCCCCUGGGCCCGCACUGACGCUCAUGCACGAAAGCGUGGGGAGCAAACAGG
rnacentral:rRNA from 1 species